rnacentral:rRNA from 1 species
UACGAGGGGGGCAAGCGUUGUUCGGAAUUAUUGGGCGUAAAGGGCGCGUAGGCGGUGCGGUAAGUCACCUGUGAAAUCUCCGGGCUUAACUCGGAGCCUGCAGGCGAAACUGCCGUGCUUGAGUGUGGGAGAGGUGCGUGGAAUUCCCGGUGUAGCGGUGAAAUGCGUAGAUAUCUGGAGGAACACCGGUGGCGAAGGCGGCAUCCUGGACCAACACUGACACUGAGGAGCGAAAGCCAGGGGAGCAAACGGG